rnacentral:rRNA from 1 species
GACGAACGCUGGCGGCGUGCUUAACACAUGCAAGUCGAGCGGUAAGGCCCUUUCGGGGGUACGACGAGCGGCGAACGGGUGAGUAACACGUGGGUGACCUGCCCUCAGCUCUGGGAUAAGCCUGGGAAACCGGGUCUAAUACUGGAUAUGACUCCAUGACGCAUGUUGGUGGGGUGGAAAGCCUUGUGCGGCUGAGGAUGGGCCCGCGGCCUAUCAGCUUGUUGGGUGGGGUGANGGCCUACCAAGGCGACGACGGGUAGCCGGCCUGAGAGGGCGACCGGCCACACUGGGACUGAGACACGGCCCAGACUCCUACGGGAGGCAGCAGUGGGGAAUCUUGCGCAAUGGGCGAAAGCCUGACGCAGCGACGCCGCGUGAGGGAUGACGGCCUCGGUUGUAAC